GUUUCGUGGAUAUAAACCUCCCCUUGCAGCGUCCAAGUGAAAUCUUCCUCUCCUCCGGUGGGUGCUGCAGCUUUUCUUACAGACUCGAACUCACUUAGAAGUUGACUUCCACUCAAGCCGCAAUCAUUCCCCUUGCCGAGAAUCUUUGAAUUUCAGGGCACUGCCAUUCACAUCCCUCCAAAAUGGCAAUUCCAGCCCAAGUUUCGACCUACAAGGGGAUCUGAACAAUGCCCUCCUCCUGCCUGUAAACCAUGAGUUUGGAAUAAUCAGCUUUUCUGAAAAUGACAAGCAAAGGGGGUCAGGAUUUCUGAACCCACAACCAGCACGACAAGUGCAUCAAUAGAGAGAAUGUGGAAGGGAAAGUAAGGUCCAAGACCAGGAAUUGUAUGAGAUAGUGGUUCGGCCAGUCUUUCCAAAGUAGAAUAUCAAUUAGUUCAAUCAAAGGGGACCAUGGAAGAUGCCUCGAGAGCCCUCCUCCAUACAAAUGCCGUCUUGUUUUGGCGUCCUGCUGUCACAGCACCACUGUAAUGAUCGUCAUCCACAUGCUUAUGGCUCGUUUGGUAGCGAGAAAUUGGCAUAGGAGAAGUGAACGUGAAAGUGAAAGUGAAACCAAUACUUUUCUCUAUUUGGUAUCAUGGAACCCGAUUCUCCAUGGAACCCAGCUCCAUAAAAAACAAUGGAACUCAACUAUUCGCUUAUGUCCAUGAAACUGGGUUCUCUCCUCACUUCCUUCCUCUUUUACCAUAUUUGCUUUUCAAGCUUCUCCCCUCACUACAACCCAAAUGCGAUAGUGCUUGACUGGCGAUAGUGCAUCACAGCCAUAACGAUGGCCAUUGAUUUUUUCGAUUGACUUAUCCAAUUCUUUUGCCCACUAAGGCGAAAAAGGCACAAUUCAAUUUUGGAUUCAAUUCCUUACACGAAUCAUUUUUUUGAUUCAAUUUAUAUUUCUUUGAGUUUGACAUUCUUCAAGCACAAUUUAGUUUUUGUUUUAUUUUUUACUUCUAGAUCAUUUAAGCAUGAUUUGACUUUUACUUCUCAAUUUGAUUUUUGAUUCAGGAUUCUUGAUUUUUGUUUCAAUUAAGACUUCUACUUAAUAGUUUCACACUUUUGACUAAUACUUUUGUUUCUAUUUUUGGUUCACAACUUCUAUUUCUCGAUCUGAUUCAACUUCUAUAAACAAGUCUCUCUCUCUCUCUCUCUAAUUUGAUAGAGAAGGGAUGAUCAGCACGUGUUUUGCGAUUCUAGGACUACUCUUUCAAGUCUAUUGAUAGUAAAGGCUGUAGAUUAAUUGAAUGAAUAGAUACGUGCAUCUACAGUGCUAUUAGAAGAAAAUUAUGUCUGCAAAAUUUUACAAAUCUUUGAUUUUUUAUUCUUUGACUUUGGUGUUUAUCUUCAACUUAGAUUUUUGAUUCUCCAUUUUUAACAUUUUAUGGAAAAAAAUCCUAAGAUUUGGUGGGUUUAUUGUUUGGGUAUUUUGAGAUCUAGUGGAGUGUUUAUUGGUGGAGAUGAACAAUGAAGGCAGGCAAUGAACAUAAAAAAGUUUUUAAUUUUAAGGGUAUUUUAGCCUUUUUAGAAUAUUACUAUAUUUAUUAAAUAUAAUUUAUAUUUUACUUUUAUCUGCAUACCAAACAUACUUUUAUACCCUACUUUCACUUUCAUCAAAAACAUUUGCCCGCACCAAACAGGGCAUUAUUCUUGUGUUGAUCUAUGUGCAUACUUCAAGUUAUUCAUGGCUUUCCAUCUAAUUCUUUCGCACUAGUCCUCAUACUUCAAGUUAUCCUUGUUCUUGCCCCUAUUAAUCAACAUAUACACACCCAAAUAAAUAGUGAAAAUAUGGGGAAGCUUAGGUCUUUGGUCCCAACGCUUCAUGAUCUUUUUGCCGUCCUAUUUAUGUUUAAACUUUCUUUUGUUUCAACUCUGACAUGUAAUUGUCUGUGCUUUUUCUCAUCAAAAUUAAAGGAGCUAGGAAAUGGCCGAAGUUGGGUUAUCCCCGUCAAGGAGACCAUAUGAAAAGGCGACGACAACAUUGGGUGAAACUGAAUAACUCACAGAAAUUAUAUACAACCUCACCCUUCGUGUCAUAGUUAGCAGACUCUUUUUCUCAACUAUCUCGUGGAAUCUCGACAGACAGACGUUGCUUCAUCUACACUUCAAGGGACCUCUCAUCAUCCCUUCACCACUUCCAGAGGACUACCUCUCCUUCUUUGGUUCUGUCAAGCCUCUUCUCCCCUUCACUCUUCUCUCCAUCAUCAGGCCCCUCGAUCUUCUCUUUGCUUGUCGAGGUUUUCAUUAGACCUAGUCGGCUCUCUUUUGAAGCUUGAGUUCUUCCACCAUUAACGGUGGAUGUAAAUUGAGAUUUUUCAUUUCUAGACUAAUUUGAAUUGAGAUUGAUUGUGGAAGAAAAGGACGAUUGUAGUCACUUAUUCAUGAAACGAAUGAAAAGCACGUUUUGAAUUC